GGGGCGACUGCGCAGUCAAGCCCUCCCUCCCCGCGCCGGCGAGUUCCGCUCCCUUCUGCCUGUGGAGCGGGCGCGCUGAGGAAGAGGCCGAGAGGAGGCGGAGCUAUUGCGUCGCCCGGGCUGAUAUACGGGUGAUGCAAAAAUGAGUGUCCCUGACUACAUGCAGUGUGCAGAAGACCAUCAAACUCUACUAGUUGUGGUCCAGCCAGUUGGGAUUGUCCCUGAAGAGAGCUUUUUUAAGAUCUACAAGCGGAUUUCAACCGUGAGUCAGAUCAAUGUACGCGACUCUCAGCGCAUCCUUUACAUUCGCUAUAGACAUCAUUACCCACCGGAGAACAAUGAAUGGGGGGAUUUUCAAACGCACCGCAAAGUGGUGGGGCUCAUAACCAUCACAGACUGUUCUUCUGCAAAGGACUGGCCUCAGACCUUUGAAAAAUUCCACCUUCAGAAGGAAAUAUAUGGCUCCACACUUUAUGAUUCUCGGCUAUUUGUCUUCGGGCUUCAAGGAGAAAUUGCAGAGCAACCUCGUACAGAUGUGGCAUUUUAUCCUAGUUAUGAUGAAUGUGAAAACGUAGAAAAGAGGAUAGAAGACUUCAUUGAAUCUCUCUUCAUUGUAUUAGAAUCCAAACGUCUUGACAGAGCCACAGAUAAGUCUGGAGAUAAGAUCCCACUUCUCUGUGUUCCUUUUGAAAAAAAGGAUUUUGUAGGCCUGGAUACAGAUAGUAGACAUUAUAAGAAGCGAUGCCAGGGUCGUAUGCGGAAGCAUGUCGGUGACCUAUGUCUGCAAGCCGGGAUGUUGCAAGAUUCCCUCGUUCACUACCACAUGGCAGUGGAACUUCUCCGUUCUGUGAAUGACUUUUUGUGGCUUGGAGCUGCUCUUGAAGGAUUAUGUUCAGCCUCAGUUAUCUAUCAUUAUCCUGGAGGCACAGGUGGUAAAGUUGGUGCAAGAAGAGCACAAGGAAGUUCACUUCCUGCAGAGGCAGGCAACAGGCACAGACCAGGGGCACAAGAAGUUCUUAUUGAUCCAGGAGCCCUCACUUCAAAUGGCAUUAAUGCAGAUACCAGUACUGAAAUUGGACGGGCCAAGAACUGCCUAAGCCCCGAAGACAUCAUAGAUAAAUACAAAGAGGCCAUUUCUUACUACAGCAAGUACAAGAAUGCUGGUGUAAUUGAGUUGGAAGCCUGUGUGAAGGCCGUGAGAGUGUUGGCAAUACAGAAAAGAAGCAUGGAGGCUUCUGAAUUUCUUCAGAAUGCUGUUUAUAUUAAUCUCCGUCAGCUUUCUGAAGAAGAAAAAAUUCAGCGUUAUAGCAUUCUUUCUGAGCUUUAUGAGCGCAUUGGAUUUCACCGCAAAUCUGCUUUCUUCAAGCGUGUGGCAGCAAUGCAGUGUGUGGCACCUAGCAUAACAGAGCCAGGGUGGAGAGCCUGCUAUAAGCUGCUUCUGGAGACCCUUCCUGGUUACAGUCUAUCUCUGGAUCCUAAGGAUUUCAGCAAAGGAACUCACCGUGGCUGGGCAGCUGUACAGAUGCGUUUGCUUCAUGAGUUGGUGUACGCUUCAAGAAGAAUGGGAAACCCAGCGCUUUCUGUCCGACAUUUGUCUUUUCUCUUGCAAACCAUGCUGGAUUUUCUUUCUGAUCAGGAAAAGAAAGAUGUAACACAAAGUCUAGAAAACUACACCUCAAAAUGCCCUGGGACUAUGGAAUUAAUUACACUUCCAGAUGGUUUAAAGCUUCCUCCUGUGCCAUUCACUAAACUUCCUAUUGUAAGAUCUGUCAAGCUUUUAAAUCUCCCUGUUAGCCUUCGGCCGCAGAAAAUAAAAAGCUUGGUGGGUCAGAACAUGUCAAUGAAGAGUCCCUUUAUAUAUUCUCCAAUCAUCGCUCACAAUCGUGGGGAGGAGCGGAGUAAAAAAAUUGAUUUUCAGUGGGUCCAGGGAGAUGUUUGUGAAGUUCAGCUGAUGGUGUACAAUCCAAUGCCUUUUGAACUCCGUGUAGAAAAUAUGGGCCUUCUGACAAGUGGAGUGGAGUUUGAAUCCCUCCCUGCAGCUCUAUCUUUACCAGCAGAAUCCGGCCUCUAUCCAGUAACACUUGUUGGUGUCCCACAGUCUGCAGGCCAGAUCACUAUCAAUGGUUAUCACACUUCAGUUUUUGGGGUCUUCAGUGACUGUCUUCUGGAUAAGUUACCAGGAAUAAAGACCAAUGGUUGCACAGUGGAAGUCAUUCCAGCUUUACCUAGAUUGCAAAUUGGUACUUCAUUACCGAGGUCUGCUCACACACUACAGCCUUCCUCAGGAGAUGAAAUAGCCACCAAUGUGUCUGUCCAGCUCUACAAUGGAGAGACGCAGCAACUCACCAUUAAGUUGGAAAAUAUUGGAACAGAGCCUUUGGAGAAGCUGGAGGUCACAUCAAAAAUGAUCAACACGAAAGGAAAGCUGUUUGGUGACUUCCUGAGCUGGAAUCUGGAAGACACGCUCUCUCAGUUUCCUCUGAAACCAGGACACAUUGCUACAUUUAUUGUGUACAUUAAAGUGAAGCUUGACUUCUCCUGCCAGGAAAACCUCCUGCAAGACCUUAAUGAUGAUGGAAUUAGUGUGAGUGGUCUUCCACUUUCCAGUCCUUUUCGACAAGUGAUAAAACCACGAGUCGAGAACAAACCUAUAAAUCCACCAGAAACCACAAAAGUUGGUGACUUCAGUCAUGUAAAGACGCUGGAAGCCAUCUUGAACUUCAAAUACUCAGGAGGUCCAGGACAUGUCGAUGGCUAUUACAGGAACUUGUCUCUGGGACUUCAUGUAGAUGUGGAGCCAUCUGUCUUCUUUACACGUGUUAGUACUCUGCCCGCAACAAGUACCCGCCAGUGCCAUCUCCUCCUUGAUGUGUUCAACUCAACAGAACAUGAGCUCACAGUUAGUGCAAAGAACAAUGAAGAUCUAGUUUUGCAUGCUGGGGAAUGCCAGCGUAUGGCUAUCCAAGUUGACAAGUUCAACUUUGAGAGCUACCCGGACUCCCCUGGUGAAAGAGCACAAUUUACAAACCCAAAGCAGCUGGAAGAAGAGAGACAGCAAGCAAAAGGUCUGGAGAUCAACAGCAAGUUAGAUAUUCUUUGGAAAAUCCCCUCUUUGAAGCGUGAAGGAGAAGCAAGCAUAGAAGGGGUUCUCAAUCAACUGGUCCUAGAGCACUUGCAAUUGGCUCCUCUCCAGUGGGGUGAGUAAUGCUGAAAAAGAUUGAUAAUUAUAUACAUUUGCUUUAUGUUGUGGUGCUUCUUACAAAUGUCAGCUCUACACAGUCACUGGGUAACCUCUCGAAAUGUUGAACAGUGAUGCAGCUCUCAGCUUCCAUUUUCUAUUAUUUGCUAAAAAUCAGUGGAGCAGGGUGACUUAGUCUGAGGAAUUUCCCCUUGGUUUCGUUUACUUGGUUGUAGGAAAUCAUUCAUUAUCCUCAAAACUAAUUGUUAUUGUUGGGCUAUAACUCUGCUGUCCACUAUAUUGUGGUAGAGAUUUGCUCUUAAAAAAUGCUGUUUUUGUGUGUGAAAUGCAUAUAACUCUUGUUUGUGGAUAGUAAUUUAUGUGGGAUAUUUCUUACUGAUUUAGGAUCAAACCAUGUUCUCAAUUAUUUGAUUUUCAGUGGGGUUUUUGGGGGGCGUUUCUGUUCAGAGAGCAAACACAUGAAGAAUUAUCUUUGUAAAUUGAAAGAGGUUAACAUUUGCAUUAUGGUGUGUUGGAAACAGCUGUAACUGCAAAACUGCAGCCAAACUAGAUGGGAGACACACAUGGCUCUCCUAUCUGUUUAGCUAUCUAUGAAAAGUAGACUCCAGAUGUUGCGACCUUGCAUCAGGAAAUGCUGAAUAUGGCUGCUUUUCGUAAGUUAUUUGCAUACAGGUGUUGGCGAGAAGUGGGUGAGCUUUCAUUGAAAAGAUGCCAUGUUGAAAAUAUUACUGCACACUGCAUCUCUUUUGUUAACCUGCUUAAAACUCAUGUGCCUACACAGUAAUGCUUGUUUAGACCUAGAUUUCCCCUGGAACAUGAAAUGGUCAUAUAUAUUGUUGGACGCCACCCCAAUCUCUGAGCAGUUCAAGAUUCCAGGCACUUAUGUUGGAAUGAGAGGCAGUGGAGACUGUGGUGUCUUUAUGAUAUAGGGUUUAUUUAUACACACACACAGCUUGAGCCUAUGAUUGAGGGGCUAACAGCAUUAGCAUCCCAUGUCUUGCUACAGCCUUGGAUUCAAGCAAAAAUCAAGCAUGGCUCUCACUCCCAAGCUUCUGCCUGCAGCCUGCUUCUAGCCCAACUCUCACAUACACAACACACUCUGGCUUUUGUGUUUCUCAUACACCCAACCUGUAUUCACUCAGCAGUAUCGCAGUCAACACAAACACACUCUUAUCUGCAGGCAGAUAUCAGACAGGUCAAACAAACUUACAACAUAUGCACAAUUGCUGGCUGGAAGAGCAGACCAGGCAGGGCCCAGGAUGAAGUUACAACCAUUAGUUAUGUGUUCAUGUACCAAAGAUGCAGAACAGAAUAUGUGGUUUGUAAAAGAUAAUUGGCAAAAUUCUGAAAGCAUGUGGAAUUUAAUAGGCUGCUCUGAAAGAUAAGCAAUAUGAAAGUUUUGCCUUGUGGAAAACAAGGAUACAAUAUUUUGGCUGACGUAGCAAAAGCGGUUUUGCAGAAGUUGAGAAUAAAAAUAAUGCUAGGUUUACGAUUGCUGGGAAAAAAUGUGGCUUAGGGGCAGUUUUGAAAAAUAGAUAAGAGACUCAACCUUUGAUAAAGACAUUUUAACAACUCAGCAGCUGAGUGAUAAGCACUUAGCAGUAAAAAAACAACUAAGACAUAAAAGAUAUUUCAACUGAAUGAUGGCUUUAUUAUUUUUACAUCAAGCUCUUUUUUAAAAAAGCUACAGGUUGUUGGUGCUUGUUUUAUGUUGCAUAACAUGGCAGAAUAAUUCUCUUCCUGUACUGGUCUUGAUUUUUUUAAAAAAUGUUGUUGUUGUUGUUGUUUAGUCGUUUAGUCGUGUCCGACUCUUCGUGACCCCAUGGACCAUAGCACGCCAGGCACUCCUGUCUUGCACUGCCUCCCGCAGUUUGGUCAAACUCAUGUUCAUAGCUUCGAGAACACUGUCCAACCAUCUCGUCCUCUGUCGUCCCCUUCUCCUAGUGCCCUCAAAUUUAAUAAUGUUCAAUCCUGUGUACUAGUUUAGUCUGAACAAUGGGAGCAUUGGAAAUUGCCUUAGAGCAACUCAGACCAUCGGUCCUUCUAAUCUGGUACUGUCUACUGUGGCUCAGUGGUGGUUGUCCACUGCUACCCCAUCCCUAUUGUGUAAUGUCAGGAUCUGAACCUGGGACCUGUAUGUGUAAAACAUGAGCAGUAUCGCUAAGCUACAGACCCUUCCCUUGAGAUAUUUGGCAGCAGCAUCCGUGGAGUAAAUUUGGACUAGGAAUAUUAACCUUUUGCAGGGUGAGUGUUCGUAACCUUAUACCAAAAGUCUCAUUACUGUAAGCCAUGGUUAUAAAGAUUAGCACUGCAGGCAUAUUAACUGCUUUGAAAUCAGUAAUUAUAUUGAAAUAUAAUUACUUGAGCCUCCUGCUUCUGUCCACAAAUAUCUACUUAUUGCUAGUUAUGAUUGGCAAAAAGCAGGGUGGAAUAAUCAUUGCUGUGGGAAUCACCUGUUGCAGCAAAGAUUGUUGUGACAUCAGAACCUUUCUUUUAUUUAUUUUAAAAUACCUUUACAGGAACUUAUUGCAAAGCACUCACACUAGGCUUGUUUUUUAUGGGCAGGCUCAAGGUGCAUGGUACUUCCUCAGGCUUUUUUUUUGGGGGGGACCUUUGCUUUUAAUGGUUUAUAGCUCAAACAUUUGCCAACCAGGUUAUUGUGAAUCAUUUGCUCUAAUAAACAAUCUUCCUAUUUCUCCUAAUUGGGCAACAUGAGUUGUUUCUGUUUGGGACUGUUCUCUCGGAGGAAAAACCUGCUUACAGAAUGGCAGGAGGGGCUAAUUUUAUGCACCAUUUCAAAUUCCACCUGUGGAAAUUGCUUCAGAACAUCAGAAACAUGAUUAUUUGAGCAGUUCAUCUGUAUAACUUUAAUGACUGAGAAUGCUAAUAGAAAUUGCUCUGUGUCUGCCGAGUGCACAUUUUUUGAGGCUUUCUAUGGUCUUGCACAUGAAAGCUGCAGAGCUGACAUGAAUUCGGAAGCUCUGGCAUAGUCAAGGCAGGAGAUACAGUACUUCUUUCAAAUUCUUAUAAACGUGUACAUAAUUUGGAACAUUCAUGCCAUUUGCUUUUUAAAUCCACCCAUCUGCCAAAGAGCUCAGGGUGGCGUGUGGACCUCCCUUGCCUUCCUCACAGCAACCUGAUCAAGUAUAAAGAAACCACCUGAAACACCCAUGCCCCCCUUUUAUGACAGUUUUAUGUUGAUGACAAUGGUGCAUUGCUCACUUGGUAGCAGGAGGCAUCCCAUGUCAGUCAUAUUCAGGACAAAGAACCAUACUCUCAUCCAGUACUUUUUUCCUUUAAAAAUGCUUAGGGGUACUCUCAUUUUCCUACUCAUAUUGAAAUACUGCCCCUCAAUGAGGCCAAACUUAGAUUCACAAAAUGUUGAGGAAGCCUGGUUUAGGGGUAUGCAUCCCUCUGCAUCCCCCCAGAAAAAAACAACCACUGCUCUCAUCUGUGGUCAAGAUCAGGGCUACACUAUUACUUCAGGAAGACUAGAGCAGAAAUAUCUGCUUUAAAGGCAUAAGGGCCUUCCUAAAUCUCCCCCCCCCCCCAGCUUAUUUCUACAUUUGUGUCUCACUCAAAGGAAAGUUGCGAAGUGGAUUGCACAGUUCCUUUGAUUUGGUAGUACUCAUUAGUCUUGGCACAGACGGUAGACAUUACUAAAGUAUGAAAAAUGGAGUGGAACGAUGCGGGGCAAAGGAUGAAAAUAAGACAAUUCAGAAGUAUGAUUAAGUUUACUUGUGAGAAAUUGCUUGCGUUUUCUAGCUGCUGCAGUAUAUUGUUCUAGCAGAGAAAGUUCAUUCAAGGAGGGACACAUGAUUCAAAGAACAGAAAUGACAAGAAAAAACGCAAUAUAUUUACAACCUUGUGACACAGAUCAGUCAGAAAAGGCAAGUUCUAACAAGACGGUUAAACUAUAAGUGAUGGAAGUUUCAGAAGGUGACAGAAGGAUGGUGUUUCUGUGGAGAACUUUCUUAGGAAAUAUACUUUUUUUUCUUUUGAAAUGGAUGAAAACUGGCAUGGAUAUGGAUCAAUUUACACUAGAGCUAUUAUUAUCAGUCUUUUCUGAUCCCAGAACAAACCUAAUCUCAACAUGGAACCCAACACUCAUUUUUACCAAAUGAAACUUUUUUUGGGGGGGGGGCUCUUCCCUUCUCUCUUUACCCCUAUUUCUGUUUAGAAUAAGAAAAUAUUGAGAUUUGUCACGUGAGCCAACUUAGAUUGGGCCAUAACCUGCCAGUGGCCUAAAAAGGUAUACUAGUGGUUUGGAUUUUGUGGACUGUCCUGACAACAUGAAUGUGUGUGUAGGAUUUUUUUGGGGGGGGGGGUAUCUGUGAAGAGCAAAUCAACUCACUGAAAUAUAUACAGAGUCCCAAGUGUCAUAUAAUAAGCUAGUGAUUUUAUGUUGUGAACCACCCUGACAUCUACGGAUGAAGGGUUUUAUAGAAAAAUAAAAACAACAACCCUCACAUCUUUUCUUAAAUAAGUUCUCUGUUACAUCAGGUGGGCCAGUUCACCCACCUCCCUGCCCCGAAAGCAACCUCAGGUGUAGGAACUACAUUUCAUUGCACACCCUGAAAUGCUCUCUCUGAAUCACAGCCAAAAUCUGUGGUUGUUUCAGUUUAAACUCAUCUUGAGUAAGCAUCGCCAUCUGAGAUACCACACACCAAUUGCUUACACUCAUUCUCCAAUCACUUAUUCUGAUACUAAUGCUAAAGCCCAUGGGGAGUCCACAGAAUAACUUGGAAUAGAUGAAAAUACAGCUGUCAUUUGACAUAGCAAAUCCUUUCCCUGAAGUAUUCGCCGCCGCCCCUACUAUUCUGUAAACAGGUUCCCUUCCUGUACAAUGACCUUAUCAAAGUUCAGUGGAGGUUUGUAGGGUUUUUAAGGGUAGGAAUGCAUGGCCCAGAUAUGCUUCAGGAGGUAGAAAGACUGCAGUUUAUAACCAGAUAAAAGGGACACCUUUUUACACUUGGGGAUUCAGUUUAAUUUUAGCAUAGUAGAACUGGCGUGGAUCUUUGAAAAGGUUGACAGUACCUGGGAGUGGAUUCUGCAGCCCUAGUUAGCAUUUGGAAUGUAUUAAAACAGAAAGGAAAAGGAAAAAUAAAUUUCCUUCCUUUGUAUACUGUCAAGCAGUUCUUUGCACAAUAAAUCUAAAUCUAGUGGAUGCUAAAACCAAUAUUCGAGUUAGAGUCUUGGUGUUAGAUACUAAUGGCAUAUGCUGUUGGUUGCUUAUGUUUUAAUGUGAUUUCAUUGGCAUCUAAUUACUUCUAUUUAUAGCAAGAGCACAAUGCUCUCCACUGCAUUCUCUAACAUGAAGAGCUAAUGUAUUGUGGUGGCAAGGAUAUUUUUAGCUGUGACAUUUGGAACCGAAGGGGAAAGGUCAGGAAUUCUGAUGAGGAUAAGUUCUGAUACUUCUAGUGCUUUCACCUAUCCCAUUCUCCAACAAUAACACCAGUUACUGUAAUACUAAAGAAUACCACUCAUGAAGCAAAUGUGAAGCAGGUGAUCAUUUUAGCUUCUUUCAUUGCAUAUUCUCCUUCUCCUUGAGUGUCAAUUUUCUUCUCUGUCAGAUUCCAUGCGGUGAUGUAUGCAUCAAAGUGAGGGUGGUGAAGCCUAUUGUAAAAGUUAGCUUUGCAUGUUCUUUCCUCCUCUAAAAAAACUGUAUAGCUUGGAAGUGGUUGAUAAUUUUUAAUUUAUGUUGUUCUCUGACAUCCACUAUGCUAUUGCAUUUUGAUAGCUAUCACCUUGCCACAUAACAAAGGAAAUAUUAUUGUAUGCUUCACUCAGCAAAGAUUCAAUGAGAGGCUGUGGAUUGAUGAUAUAUUAUAGAAAAGCAUGGAAGACUAGACUCCAUGGAAGUGAACACAGUUUUUGAAAAACAACAUAAUUGCAUUGUAGUUUUCCUGAUGGGAAAUUAAGUGCAUAUAAGCAUGUCAUAAAGCUGUUGAUCAAGAAAAGGGUAUAAGAAAAAGUGUACUUAAAUUCUGAACUUGGAUGCUUCGCGCCAUUUGUUUAACAAAUUUGGCAGUUACUUAGCUUUAUCUAAUGUUAGGUGGCUUAGAAAGGGUCUACUUGCUAAGAAAGCAAGAAUCUCAUGUUUACCAAGGUACCACAUAAUAGUACAACAGUGGUGAUAACCUUUUAGGACCAACGGAAAGCCACAAAAUAGUGAACUAGCUUUUGAGUUUUACAGAACUCUUUCCAUAGGAUAGAAGUUUUACAGAAAAAGGGGAGGAGAAAAUAAAAAUACUGAGUAGCUCCCAAUAAAGAUAUUGUGUUAGUUCUGCUUAUUGUUACAUGGAAGCCCAACUUUGCCCACUUCCUAUGAGUCCUCUCUGGAUGAUUAAAAUAAAUAUUACCAGUAAUGAUCACAUCCCACCCCAACCCCAGUCCAGCCUGAAGAAGCAUUCAGUGGACAUUUAAAAGCUUUGUAAAAACUGCUUUCUAGCUGUCCUAAUGAAUGUGUUGUUUUACUGUUUCUGUUUGCACUUUUUCAAGUGUCUGGUUGGAAGAAUAAUAUUUCUCCCUUAAAUUUCUACAGCUGAAAUGCUGUUCUGCUUGAUGAAAAUUCUUUCAACUGUGACUGUUCUUGUUACCUUUCCCAGGUUCCUAUUGGAUUCAAAGAGCAUGUAAUAAAGUGAAUUACCUCACUGAAUUUUAUGAAUUAUAUGAUGAUGGCUAGUGAAAAGAUUUCAGCAUGUAUCGGACAGUUAAUGGAAAACAGCAUAGACUACAAACCAAGGAACCAGAAGCACAAAACUAUGGCAUAACCUGAAAUAUUUCUCCCCCACCCCACCCCAAUCAAUCAAUACUGAAUUUAUUUCCCACCAUUUCCCACUUCUUGUCGGUUCAUAGUCUCAGCAUUCUCAUGUCAAAAUUAAGAGCCUCCCUAGGUCUGGUGUUGAUGCGAACAGGGGUGUUUCUGAGAAAUGUGAAAUUUGUUUGUUGCUCUUCAGACCAGUCCUUUCCUUCUGCACAGAGUUUAAUGCAAUGAAAAGUUUAGAUGAAUUGAAACCACCAUAUCUUUCCAAAUCAAGACAUUUAUUGCACCCAAGUGAACUGUGUGACAGUGCCAUGGACACAGGCUAUACCAGGCAUCCCCAAACUGUGGCUCUCCAGAUGUUUUGGCCUACAACUCCCAUGAUCCCUAGCUAACAGGACCAGUGGUCAGGGAUGAUGGGAAUUCUAGUCCAAAACAUCUGGAGGGCCGAAGUUUGGGGAUGCCUGGGCUAUACUGUACUCUUAAGCUUCAUGUUUGUGAGAACGUUUAAUGCAGGGAUGGAGAACCUGUGGCUCUUUAGUGUUAUGGAACUACAUCUCCCAUCAACCAUGUCUAUUGGCAAGUUGUCCAUUAAUUUUCUAUAGUCAGUAUGUUUAAUGAUAGAAAAUGUAAACUGUGACUUUAAAGCCCUUACUCAGGAGUACUUUAAAGGGCACAGGAUUAGGGCACAGAUGUGUCCAAUGUAAUAAAAAAAAGGGUGGGGGUUGCAAAGUAAGCAGCUGAUGUAUUUUUACCUGCAGAUUCGGUCUUUUGAUAACUGAUAGCUAUCAGGUUUCCUUUAAUUCUGCCUUGGGAAAUGAUAGAAUCCAUUUUUUUUCCAGCACCUUUAUAUGAUUUGAUCUCUGAAACUUCACUACAAACCUGUGAUAUUACUUUAUUGUUAUGUUGUAACUGGUGGAUGCUUGAAGCUAGCAUACCUGUUCAGACUCGCUAUGAACCAAUCUAGGUCACCUAUAAACCUACAAACUUAUGUUUACAAUUAUGUAUUUUUUUCAUGUUGUAAGCCUCCUUGAACAUGGCUUGAAUUAUGUAUGUAAAGCCAGCAUACAAAUAAAAUUAUGUAUGUAUGUAUGUAUGUAUGUAUGGCCUGUGGGAAUUCUGUAGCAGGUACUUUCAUUCUAUGGUUUGGACAAUAUGUAAGGUUUUCCUUAGAUACUGUUUUCCAUGUAAUUUAAAAUUAAUAACUGUAGUAGUGUAAUUAUGUUACAUUGAUUUAGAUUUGUAACCAUGUGAAGGGAUUUUUAAAGCUUUUAGAGUCUAGCCACUUUUCUCUCAUUUCAGGAUGGAUUAGAAUACUGAAACCAGAACAAAAUUUUAUAUAUAUAUUAACUAGAAUUUUCAUCUGCUUAGGUGAACUCAAUACAGUAAAUCGGUAUGAUAUUGCCAGGAAGGUUUGAAGCAGGAAGGAGAAAUCUAGAGAACCAAACUGCACUCUUCUCUGUGCUAAUUCAUUCUCCCAGGAGUUGUAUGUCAGUUCCCUCCUUAGAAUUGGGAGGGUGUAACUCCAAGAGCUUAAUUCUUCAAAGUAAAAUCAAGGUCAGCUUGACAAAAAAUAGCCAUGGAUCGAGGAAGUUGUAAUUGUGGAAGAAAUCCUGUCAGCCUCAGUUACUAGAAAACAUCAGAAGGGGAACAGGGCUUGUGACUUAGAAAUAAAAGCUAUCAAAAGUGAACUCAAAGGAUGGGAAUGCCUUAUAUAUUAUAUAAAAACCUUGCAUAAAGUUGACAGAAAGUACCGUUUCAUAGUUAAUUUUGCUAUUCAUGCACCUGAUUGGCUGAUGGAGAAAGGAGAUAGAAAAAUCACAUUUUCAUUGUGAAGCUGUCUGCCUCUUAGCAUCUCUAAUAAAAAAUAAAAUAUCCAAUAACGGCUCAGAAGAGCUUUAUUGCACAGCCAGAGCUCCUGCAGUGGAAGCCUAUUGCAAAUUGAUUGUGCCACUUGGAUGUAGGAAGUUAGAGCCUUAUUUCCCUGUAAAUGCAGACGGUUUGCUCAGUGGUUGAAACACAGUUCCUUGGGGCCAUUGUAAAUGUCUGCGUAUGUAUUUCAUUUUUGUCUUUUACAGGUGUUCUCAACAUAAAAUAAAGUUAACCCCUGCAGACUUUCAGGAAAGAUAUUAGUGUAUUCUUAGAUCAGUAACAGGGACCCAGGUGGCGCUGUGGUUAAACCACUGAGCCUAGGGCUUGCUGAUCAGAAGGUCGGCGGUUCAAAUCCCUGUGACGGGGUGAGCUCCCGUUGUUUGGUCCCAGCUCCUGCCAACCUACCAGUUCGAAAGCACAUCAAAAUGCAAGUAGAUAAAUAGGAACCGCUACAGCGGGAAGGUAAACGGCGUUUCCGUGUGCUGCUCUGGUUUGCCAGAAGUGGCUUUGUCAUGCUGGCCACAUGAUCCAGAAGCUAUACGCCGGCUCCCUCGACCAAUAAUGUGAGAUGAGCGCGCAACCCCAGAGUCGGUCACGACUGGACCUAAUGGUCAGGGGUCCAUUUACCCUUUACCUAGAUCACUAACAACACAAGAGACUGAUUUUUGCCAUCUUCCACUCUAUCAACCUAGGAGAGGGGGACUUCGAUCAGCCUCAUUAGAGUUCAAACCUCAUGAAAGAGAGAGACCCAUUCUAGCACAGUUGGGCUGCAAAAAAGAUUAGUUUAUUUGGUUGUGUGAGGGCAGCAAUGAUGAAUCCUGCAUUCUUUUUAUAUUGUAAAAACUGCGAAGAUUUCAUUUCUUGGUAUGGUCCAAAUGUUCAGUAACACAUUUUUCUGGUGCUUUCAGAAAGAGGUUACCAGAGGGACACAAACUCUCACAGAUAGACCUUCCAUCCCAAACCUUACAUUUUUUCCUCCACUCCUUUGUUGAAGUCAGAGAGGAGAUAUGAUGGCCAUUUUCAAAUAUCUAUAAGAGGAAGCAAACUUGUUUUCUGCUGCUGUAGAGGGUAGUACAGUGGUACCUCUACUUACAAAUUUAAUGCGUUCUGAACGCACACCUGUAAGUCGAAAAAAAUUGUAAGUCGAAUCCCAUAGGAAUGCAUUGGGAGAAAAAAUUCAUAAGUCGAAGCAACCGUAUCUAAAAAUUUGUAAAAAUCCUAUCUAAACAGCAUCCAAGAUGGCGGACAGAGCUCCAUUCAUAAGUAGAAACAUUUGUAAGUCGAGUCAUUCGUAAGUAGAGGUACCACUGUAACCCAAACCAGUGGCUUCAAGUUACAAGAAAGGAUAUUUCAACUAAACAACAGGGAGAAUAUUCUGAGAGUAAGAGCUGUUCCACAGUGGAAUGGUCUUCCUCGGGAGGUUGUAGAAUCUCCUUCCUUGGAGGUUCUUAAGCAGAGGUUGGAUGGCCAUUUGUCAUGGAUGCUUUAGUUGAGAUUCCUGCAUCACAGGGGAUUGAUCUAGAUGACCCUUGGGGUCCCUUACAAUUCUACAACUCUAUGAUACUUUGAUUUAGAAAGAUGGGGCCCAGGAUAAAAUCCUGUUGCGUCCCACUUGUCACUUCUCUCCAGAUUGAUAAUGAAGUGUUGAUGAGUGAUUGAUUACAGUCCAUCAACUAGCUACAAAUCCACCUAGCAUUAGCAUAAUCUAGAAUAUAAUAGAGGGACCUUGUCAAAAAGUCGUGUUGAACUCAUUUUAUGUUGAUAGCAUUCCCCUGACCUACCAACUGCUACGUCAAUCUGCUGCUUUUAAAAACUGCAGAACUUUUCACAUGGCUGGUGGCAGGGCUUUUUUUCAGCCAGAACUCACGGGAACUCAGUUCUAGCACCAUUGUCGUCAUAAGAGAACAAAGAAGAUGUUCAUGGUGAGUUCCAGCACCUCUUUUUCUAGAAGACUGCUGCUGGUGGCCAGCUGGGCUUAAGAAGCCCUUUCUGCUUAACCUGGCCCAGACUGACUUUUGCAAAUUCAUUAGGAUGCAGUUGCACCUGCAGAUUGAGCAUCAGUGGGAGCCAGUGUGGUGUAGUGGUUAAGAGCGGUAGACUCGUGAUCUGCGAAACCGGGUUCGCGUCUCCACUCCUCCACAUGCAGCUGCUGGGUGACCUUGGGCUAGUCACACUUCUCUGAAGUCUCUCAGCCCCACCUACCUCACAGGGUGUCUGUUGUGGGGGAGGAAGGGAAAGGAGAAUGUUAGCCGCUUUGUUGUUUGUUGUUGUUUAGUCGUGUCCGACUCUUCGUGACCCCAUGGACCAUAGCACGCCAGGCACUCCUGUCUUGCACUGCCUCCCGCAGUUUGGUCAAACUCAUGUUCGUAGCUUCGAGAACACUGUCCAACCAUCUCAUCCUCUGUCGUCCCCUUCUCCUUUUGCCCUCAAUCUUUCCCAACAUCAGGGUCUUUUCCAGGGAGUCUUUUCUUCUCAUGAGGUAGCCAAAGUAUUGGAGCCUCAGCUUCACGAUCUGUCCUUCCAGGGAGCACUCAGGGCUGAUUUCCUUAAGAAUGGAUAGGUUUGAUCUUCUUGCAGUCCAUGGGACUCUCAAGAGUCUCCUCCAGCACCAUAAUUCAAAAGCAUCAAUUCCUUAGGGUAGUGAUAAAGCGGGAUAUCAAAUCCAAACUCUUCUUCUUCUUCUUCUUCAUCCUACCACCACAUUGAAAGUUGCAUGAAAAUGUGGAAUCGUGAAUUGAUUCAUAUUAGCAAUGAAAAGGAUUGCAUUGUAGUAAUCCAAAGAUGUUAGCUAAAAUAUCUAUUCUUGGUAAGCAUUAUUUGUAGCAGCAUCAGAAGGUAGUAUUGUGUUCCAUGAUGUUCCUUCAUAUACUUACACAAGCAUGAAUGUUUGUGUGCAUGUGUUUUUAUUUAAAUAUUUUAUUUGACAAAUUUAAAUACCAUUUCCCCCCAGAAACAUUGUCCUUGGAGUGAUUUAAAUGGGUCUAAAUAUGUCUCCUUUUAGAUGAGAAACAUGCGCCCUCUGUUACAGUUAGUGGUGAUAAAUUAUUUGUAGCGCUUCAGUGUAAUCUACUUCAGUAAUGAAGCAGCGCUCUAAUUUAGAAAGAGGAUGAUCUUAGUAGAUGAAUGAAAGCAGGCUCAUAAAAAGCGGUUUGGUUUCACACCGAUGGAAAGGAAGGGGGGGGGGAGAUUACAGUGCAUAUUAUUUCUUUAAAAACUAUAAGGCAGAAGAAAUGAGAGGGAGACAAUGGGAGGACAGACAUGGAAAAGAGCUAAAUUUGUAUACAAUUUGUGUCACUGAUCAUGAACAGAAGGUACACAGAUAGUGUUAAUUUUAGCACAGCAAGAGCACAUUGGCAGGAAGCCAGCAGUGAAGACAUGUUGUGUAUCGUUCCUUGGUCUCAGGUUUGCCUGCCAAUUGGAAGCCCUAAACUAAGUUAAAGAAAUAUUUGCAUGGCAAGACCUCGAGCCCUGCCCUUUUGUGAAUAAUGAAACACACGGACACCAGUACACUGGUACCUCUAGUUGCGGACACGAUUUGUUCUGGGGUGGCAUUCGCACCCCGAAAAGUCUGCAACUAGAGCGGCGCUUCUGCGCAUGUGCAAAGCGCGCAGAACACUUCUGCGCAUGUGUAUACUUCCGGGUUUGCUCCGUUCGCAAGCCGAAAAGAUGAAACAUGAACCUAACGCAACACAAGGUAUGACUGUAUUUAGGUUCAUGGGAUAAUUAAGGCCACAACUUCAUUGGCCGCCGAGACCGGUCCUAAAAGACCUACAUUGGCUCUCAGUACGUUUCUGAGCACAAUUCAAAGUGUUGGUGCUUACCUUUAAAGCCCUAAACAGCCUCGGUCCACUAUAUCUGAAGGAGCAUCUCCACCCCCAUCAUUCUCCUGGACAAUGACAUCCAGCGCCAAGGGCCUUCUGGCGGUUCUCUCACUGCGAGAAGUAAAGCUACAGGGAACCAGGCAGAGGGUCUUCUCAGUAGUGGCCCCCGCCCUGUGGAAUGCCCUCCCAUCAGAUGUCAAAGAGAUAAACAACUACCUGACAUUUAGAAGACAUCUGAAGGCAACCUUGUUUUGGGAAGUUUUUAAUGUGUGACGUUUUAAUGUAUUUUUAAUCUUUGUUAGAAGCCACCCAGAGUGGCUGGGUACAAAUAAAAAAUUAUUAUUAUUAUUAUUAUUAUUAUUAUUAUUAUUAUUAUUAUUAUUAUUGGCUUAGGCAUUGGAAUUGAACCUACUAUGUAUGACUCCUGCCUGCCAUGCAGGUAGUCUAGUAAGGGCCAACCACCAGUAGGGGGAGCCCUGUUGAUGUACAUCAAGUUUCUGAUGGGGUCGUGGCAUGGCUCUAGCCCAUACCUGGGCUGUGGACGAGAUCCACACACCCGGAUCCCUUUAAUGGAAUACCCUUAAAGAGGAGGGGCAAGUGAAGGCCACAACCUCCUCUCCCAUAAACCAGGCUUUACCAAUGCCUAACCGCCAAGCCUUAGGAGGUUGUGACCAUUGCUACGAGGCAGGCGAAAACCACAUGGCUGGUGCCAAUUUGCCAAGUGGGAAAAUUCCUACCUGGCCCCCUCAACAGGCAAGUAGCAUGGCCAAGAUUGCAAAUGUGAGGAGUUAGGAGUCCAGUGUUGUUUAUUGUAAAGCAAUAUGUUAGAGUUGGGUCGUUCUGCAGAACUGCAACCCCGCCCGGUGGUUCAGGCAGUGGUAUGGUAUAACAUUUCAAACAAAGCAUUUCAGUUUUCAGCAAUCAUAUACAUCAUUACCUCAUUUCAUGUUUAACACACAUGCACAAUAAGCACUGGCAAUUUCUGCUGAUUAAGUUCUGAUUCCCACCGUGUUCUGUUACAUUGUGUAGUGUGCAUGUUGGGAACCUGUGUUACGUGUAGCCAUUUGCACCAUGUAGCAACUUAUGUUCUAGCUUUGAGCUGUAUCUUUGUCAUUCACAUAUUAGCUGUAUUUCUGCCCCAAUGGGGGGGUGGCAACUUGCAUAAUAAUCAGUUUCAUACAGUAACAGGCUACCAUAACUUCUCUAUUAGAAGCGCACUCAAGGAUUUACAGGGGUACACAUCACAUUUAUUGUGGCCCUUUGGGCCGCCACCACAUUAUAAUAGGCCAGGAAUGAACUGGGAGGUUGAGGCUGAGCCAGGAGAAGUAGAAGCUGGAACGAUACAGUCUACUUGGGUCUCAUUCCAGUCGGGAGGGGAGAAAUUCUUCUACAAAAAGAGAAGACCCCCCAAACCAGUUAAGAGGGGUGUGGAGAUCCUUGGGUCUGUUACUUGGAGUUCCUCAGGAGUAGGGUUGUCAAAGGGGUGUGUAACUGACAGGAAGUGCCACCUUGUUGAAGAACCAAAGUAUUAAGGGGCAACAACUGAGAAAGAACUGAAGUGAAAUAGCUGGGAAUAGGCUGAGCGUUUACCCUGUAGUCUAACAACCUGCGACAUCUACCUGAAGUGAAGUAACUGAACAUAAGCAACUGAAGUUUAAAGGAAGCUGUGCUUGAUUAGAAGCCCAUAAUAUCAGUUAGAUUUAGUAUAAAUAUUAUUUGGUGAACGGUUACCUGAAAUAACAUUACAACCUGAAGUAUCCUUUGUUUUACUCACUUUGUGUCAUAAACUUCCUUGGUUUGAUAAAACCUUUCUUGUUUGUUUGAACAAAUCCUGCCUGAGACUCCAAAUCAUUAAGUUUCCCCUCAUACAAGUCCGCCACUAGAUAAUCUGGGGUAAUUUGUAGAAAUUCAUGUAAUUGGUGUUCUGCGAGGUGGUCGCACUAUAUUUAAGUGCGGGCCUUCCAGGGGGCAGAUGUGGAGGGGAAAUGGGAAUGGCUGCCCUAGAGUAGUUGUGGUAUCCUGCAUUGUCUCUCCAUCUUACUUACAUUGUGUGUCUGAAAGAAAACAUUUCGAUAGUUAGAAAUGGGGAAAGAGGGCUUCAGUUGAAGUUCUGGCAGAGUGGCAAAAGCACAGUCAUAUUAAAGAAGCAGUAACCUCUUCCCUAGAAAUGAGUGCAUGCAAUUUUUUAUUAUUCCAACAUUGCCCUUUACAUAGCUGUAGGCAAUGGUACAGAUUCCACAAGCAUGACUAUUGAUUGUAGGAGAUGGUCUUCCCAACAUUUCUACAUAUAUUGCAGAAUGUUAAUUUAUAAGCAUGCUUCCAAAUUCUUUAGUAUGUGCCUUGUGUGCGUAUUAGGCUUUCAAGCAUGUCAAACUGUACACACUGUUGUUGGUAAGUAGUUUAAAUUAAUGUCUUACGUUUAAAUUUAUGAAGCUACAAAGACUUCCUGCAUCUUUCCGAGAGGGAUGCUUAUCAAUUUCCUUAUCGAGUUGUGAAAAUCAAACUGAGCUUGAAUUCAAUUAAUUUGAUUCCAGUGACAUUUAUUGAUGUGAAGUGUAAUUAAAAAGCAUUGUCUUGUAAGACUGUCAGUUCCCUAGUAUGCCCUUUUCAAACUUUUCAAAUUUACAAGAACAAUAUAAUUUACCUUGCACACCAGCAGACCUUAGCAGGUUUUAGUGACUGAAAUAUUAUUCUGUUUCAGAAAACAGCAGAUCACAAUUAAGAAUGACGUGUGCCUUGUGCUUCGAAUUUUUUGCAGUGAUGAUUGGUUGUUUCAGCGAUCAGUGCUGCAUACACUUACAUGAUUUUAGAAAAUAGGAGUGCGCUGUUAGUAGUCAGUAAACAAAUUAAUUAAAUGUGGAUGUCUGUUUUGUCGAAUCCCAUUUGUAUUUGUUAGUACAAUAUUGUUCACCAGCAGACCUUCACCAUAGCAAUGUUUGUGUAUAAUUGGUGGUAUGCAAAAGAUUCACAUGAAUCCCCAAUAACGAGCUGAAGUUACAGCUGAAUAUCUCAGUUGGUUAGGGCAUGGUUGGUUGGUUAACACCAAGUUUGCCGGUUUGAUCCCCGUAGGGACAGCUGCAUAUUUGUGCAAUGUAGGGGGUUGAACUAGAUGAUCCUCAGGGUUCCUUCCAACUCAGUGAUUCUAUUAUUCUAAUUCUAUGAAUUGGGGCAGCUUUGGACAGAUUAGGGACUUGCCGGAACUGAAGUGGGUAUUUCCAUGGUACCUUGAGCAGGGAGCCUUUGAUUCUUGGCCCUCAAUAAUUUUCAGCCUUCAUAAGUGGGCCCUGGAGGUAGAGAUUUUGAGAACCCUCCUUGAUCUAGGACAAAUGAAGCCAACAUGGUGACCUCCAGAUGUUGUGGGUUGCAAUUCCCCUAAUCUCUUAUCAUUGACCAUGCUGGCUGAGACGUCCAAAACAUCUGAAGGGUACUUACACAUGACUGCCCCUGAUCUAACAUUAGAACUGGACAACUCGGAUUUAACUGGUUCCCCGCCCCCCACCCCACCCCAAAUUUCUGAGUCAUAGGUUGCAAUCUGAUACUGUUUUGGCAUCAUCUGGUUUUCGACCAUGCCAUCUGAAAAGGGAGAGUAGAUUAGGCUGGUUGAAGUCACUGGAUUUUGAAAAAGAUCAGUAUGCUGGAAGACCCAUUUGCCACAGCCAGCCCAUCUAUAAUUCAUUUUUGUGUAGAUUCCCUCCCUGCAUGCACUCUGCUUUGUUUCUGUGAAAAUAAGCUGAAAAGUAAUUAAAAUGCCUGUCUCUCAGGUCUCUUAAUUAAAAAAAAAUAGUGUGUUUCAGCUGUUGAAAGAUGUGCCGAGAUCUCCCCGAGGCUCCCUCUUGCUAUAAAAAGAGCUUUCUAUUUUCGUUUUACUCCUCUCUGAAAAAGAACCACCUACCCUGCUUAUUCAUCCCCCGUUGGAAUUUACUGAUCCAGUUGCAAGCCUGAGCCAUUUAAAAUUAGCAGCCAUGCUCUAUCAGCCUUUAGGGUGUACUCCUUCGUUUAAUAAAAGGACACUGUCAGCUUGGCACAUUACUAAAGCACUCAGCCAGAAUAACCCUCGCACAAUGUCAAUACCUUUUUUAUUUUUAAUUUUCAACUUUUUCACAUAAAAUUAUUUUUGGCAAUGAGAACUGGAGGAGAUGAAACAUGUUUUCAUUUCCCCCCCUUCCCUCAGCAAAUUCUAACUUUCUUUUAUUCCUUUUUUUUUUUUUUUGCCUUGCUGGGCGAAAUGAUAUGCUGAUUUUCUCUGAUCUUCCUUCAAGCUCCAGGUUUUGGAAUAUGUAAGGAUAUUCUCCUGCUUGCGAGACACUCAGGGAGAAUUUGCAUAGCAAAUUGAACAUCUGUCGGAUUUAUACGUUUGCCUCUUGUAGUAGUUCUCUUAUUAAUUAACCAUUGCAACUCAGAUCAGCAGGGACUUGCCUGUGUAAAAGAGUGAUAAUGGGGGGCCUUUAAUAUCUAUUUUAUACAUCCAUAUUCCAUCCAAUUCGGCCAAGAAUUGUAAUGAUGGGUGAUAAUUACCAUCUUAUAGUUUAACUGCUGAUGUAAAAUGUACUGGUGUCUAGCAAAAUACCAGUUCUCUUAUAACUAUGGGAAAUAGUAACUGCAGCUUUUGGCAGGGGAAGAAUCCUAUGGGUUACAGUUUGCAGUUUGUCCAUGAGUACUAAAUCACAAGUUCAGGUUCACAUAUCAAGCUAAGCCAGACUUGUAGCCAAGAAGCUGUGAUCUCCUCUCUCAGAGCCUGUAUGCUUUCAGGUUUAAUGUGAUGUGCAAACCAGGCCAUUUCCUAGUGGCAUGCAGAUAUUAUAAUGCAAACGGUACUAAUUUCUUCUUCUCCUCCUCCUCCUCGUGAAUGCUGAAGGAUCAAAACCAGGUCAUUCAUCGCCUCCCUAUUUUGUUUUUAAAAUUCUGGCAACCAUCUAUACAUCAAAUAUAAUGAUAGGAUAAGCUCUGGCAUUGUAGUGAACAAAAUGGGUCUUAAAAUGUAAUUUAAUACUCACUUGCACCUGUAUUAGGGCACCAGCGUAUCCAUCAGACUGCUGGCUUAUGAAAAUAGAAACAGAGAAAACCCUACAAUGCUAAACAAGUGCAGAAUUUAUUGCAUGGGUUCUGUGAAAGGUAAUACCACAAAAUGGUUUGUUUGUUUUUGUCUGAGUAGAAAUAAUUAUAUGCUUUCGGAAUUCAUCCAGUAAAUUCAAGUUAAGUAGAUAGCGCAGUAGCUUGAUUAACAGCUCUCGUAGAAGAGAUGGCAUGGUCCCCAUCCUUGGUUUAGACCAGGGUUUCCCAAACUUGGGUUUCCAGCUGUUUUUGAACUACAAUUCCCAUCAUCCCUGACCACUGGUCCUGCUAGCUAGGAAUGAUGGGAGUUGUAGUUCAAAAACAGCUGGAGACCCAAGUUUGGGAAACCCUGGUAUAGACAAAUAUAUGACGUUAUUGAAUUGUUUUUAUUGCUUAUGAUGAAUUGGUUGCUGAUUGCUUUAUAUGCUGUUGCGUUUGAUAUUAUAGUCAUUGCAAUGGUUAUUUUUAAUGUUGUUGUGAUUAUUGCAAGUCGCUUUGAGCUCAAAAUUUGUUCUUGAAAAAGCAAGAUACAACUAUUAAAUCAACUCAGCACAAAUGUGGGAGGGUGGUAGCAUACACAGAAAAACCAAGGACAAUAGGAGUGACACAGGAGCAAUAAAAAAUAAUUAAAUAGAUAAAUACAAGAGAUGUGUGUGACAAAUCAGGGAGAAUUUAGACGGAUGCUGGCUGUAGUGCUAUUGAAAUUGCCACUAAGAAUUUCAGGCAACCUAAUUGGUGCCCUAAAAAUUAAAAUUAAAAGCCCUGCAUUGGGUAACUUAUAAGCCAUUUGAUAGAUUUAGUGACUGUAUUAGUUCCCCAUUCAGAUUUUAAGCAUGCUGGCAUUGCCAGUUAAUACAAAUUAUCUACUUCAUUGGCCCAUUUUGCAUUGAUGGGAGCAGAACUCUGAAUGUUUAUGGCUGUCCCUUUUACAUUUAUGUGUGGCUGUUUCAAGGGCUCCAUAGCUGGCUGGAGGAGGAACGAUUUCAUGUGAGCUCCAGAUGCUUCUUAAUGGCAUUUCAGCAGUGGAAAGAGAUAAUAUAUCUAUAUUUACUGUGAUGCCAUCUGUUAAUAAACUAUACUUAAGAGGAAAUAAAGAUCAGAGUUUUAUGACUUAUUAUAACUAUUAAUCUGUUUUCAGUGCUGGCUUUAAAAUCUUCUCCCAGAUACUUGAGCAGAGGAUAUGUUACAAAGCAGAUCAUAUUCAACUGCAUUUUGUGAUAAACUGUCUUUAUAAUAGCAUUAACUGCAUGGAAAUGUUUGUAUGUGGUUUUGUUUACUACAGUGCGGUUAACUCUUAAACUGCAGACGUGAACAUUCUGUAUGAGAAGCGAACCUUAUUUGUAUGCAUUGCCUCUCCCUCUUAUUGUUUGUUUUAGCAUGUUUAAUAUCUUGCUCUUCAGUUCUAGAACAUCCAGGGCAGCAACUCAAAAACAGAAGUUAAACAGCCCACCUAAAUGUGCCCCUCCAAUGAGUAAUAAAAAUCAUUAAGAGCUGAAAGGCAGAAUAUAGAUAUAUAUAUAUCCCUUUCAGCUCUUAAUGAUACACACACACACACACACUUAAUGUAGCAAUAAACCAAUAUUGUAAAAGGCAAAGACAGAUAGAUAAAGACUUCUCACAACAGUUUGAUGCAAAAUUUGUCAACUAUUAGUCUCCCUGUAGAAGGCAUCACCCACCUGCCUAACAUCAGAAAGUGGGAGCACCCAGCUUCAUGUCCUCUAUGUUAUCUGGUUAUGGUUGAAAGAAGAUCUGUGAUCCAUCAGGCUGCAUGAAUUUAAUCCAGACAAGGCAGAAGUACAGGUAAAGGUAAAGGACCCCUGAACAGUUAAGUCCAGUCAAAGGCGACUAUGGGGUUGUGGCACUUCCAGGUCGACGGAGCCAGCCUUUGUCCACAGAUAGCUUCCUGGGUCAUGUGGCCAGCAUGACUAAACCGCUUCUGGCGCAACGGAACACUGUGACGGAAACCAGAGCGCACGGAAACACUGUUUACCUUCCCGUCGCAGCGGUACCUAUUUAUCUACUUGCACUGGUGUGCUUUCGAACCACUAGGUUGGCAGAAAGCUGGGACAGAGCAACGGGGGCUCACCCCAUUGCGGGGAUUCGAACCGCCAACCUUCUGAUUGGCAGCCCAAGAGGCUCAGUGGCUUAGACCACAGCGCCACCUGCGUCCCUAGUUGGUUGGAAAUAGCACUGAAGAUGGAUCAGGCUUGUUUUCUCCAGCUCUGGAGGGUAGGACUCGAACCAAUGGCUUCAAGUUACAAGAAAGGAGAUUCUGACUAAGAAUCAGGAAGAAGCUGCUCCACAGUGGAAUGGUCUCCCUCGGUAGGUUGUAGAAUCUCCUUCCUUGGAAGUUCUUAAGCAGAGGUUGGAUGGCCAUCUGUCAUGGAUGCUUUAGUUGAGAUUCCUGCAUUGCAAGGAGUUGGGCUAGAUGACCCUCAGGACCCCUUCCAGUUAUACAGUUUUAUGUAUUCCAUGUUCUGUGAUUCUAUCAAUCCUAUUCCACUUGAAGAAAUUAGCUUAUAUAGGCAAACUGUCAUGGACAAAGCCUUAGGCUGCUGGGGAAAGAACCAGGUGAGGAGUCUUAAAGAGCGGUGGGAAGGUAGGGACCUCGCAACUGCCUCAUCGGGGCAAGAGCUACUUGGAAGGGUUGCUGUGACCACUAGGACUGAGCUGUAUUGUUUCUUUGAAUAAAAAGUUAACUUCA